GGGCGUGGGGAGGCCUCUGUGGUUUUCAAAGGAUGGGGCGGGCUGACCGUGCGGAUGUCGGGCUCUGGAGUCGGGCACCCCAAGCUGUCUGCUGCCUGGCUGGGGGUUCGGGUGGGGGGCUCAUGUCUCCUAGGAGAGAGCAGAAAAGAACAGAAAGCCGUGUAGAUGUGCUGAAAAGAAGCUACCCUGCCUGUUCUUCUGCCCAAGAAACGAGGGUGUGAAGUACAGAGCAGUGAGACGCCGCGCACAGCCAUGUGGCCGACCUCCCGGCCAGGCCGGCUGGGUCAGACCUGGGGCAGGCUUCCCCACAGUCCUGGGGCUCUCCCGGCUGCCCCGACAGGAACGGGCCUGCGGCUUGGUGAUGAGGAUUCUCCAGAGGAACCCACGGCUGCCACACCCUCCCGUCACAUUCAAUGACCUCGUUUGCAAUGUGCUCCACGCCUGCCAGGUAAUUAUUGACAUCAGAGUGACUCUGCCGGCUCUUCCAGAGAUUCUGGAGACCCCAGGAGGUGAGUGAUGGUCUGGUUCCCGGUGACCUGCAAUCCGUGGGCGGUGGGAGAGCCCAGCUCCCUGCCACAUCCUGACUGCGCUGCCCUGAAGGGGAGAGAAUGGGGACGAGGUGUGCUUUCUACGUGAGGCCCAUCUCUGUGGCCAGCUGAGCCCGAGGCCCCCCUGUCUCCCUGUCCAGACCCCAGGCCCAGGGAGGAAAACCGGAAAGAGAACCCUCAGGUCGGGCUUCAUCGUUGGGCAAUCUCACCAAUGUAGUGUGUCAUCUGCCUACCGUGUGACAAACAUCCUACCUGACAUUUUAAAAACACUGUCAUUUUCUUUUAAAUGCCCAUGUAUUUGCCUACAUCACACUAUGCUUUGUGUUGGGGGAGCGGGUUACAAGCCUAUAAAUUUGCCCCUAAAAUAGUACCUGAGGUGAAAACUCCAAGGGAGGCUAUAUCCCUGAGGAUACGCUUGGGUGAAAUUGUGACAUUUCCGGAGUACCUCGCUUGGCUUUAGUACAUGUGCAUAUCAGCAGGAGCUCCAGGGUGCAGAGAAGUGUGGUUGUAGUGGAUUUGCGUAAGUCUCCAUAUCACUGGGUCGUUACCGGGCAGUGGAGGGCUUCGCUGUACCUGGGAGGGGAGGGGGAGGGCCGUUUUUGCUGCUGUUUGAGCCGGAGAGAGAUGGCCCGGGCUGCAGUUUUGUAAGCAAUAAACGGGUUUUUAACUGUAUUUCUCCCUUUGACUGAUUACAGUUUUUAGAGCUAUUUUGCCCUGGGAUUUCCUCUGCCCGGACUUACAAUAUGAGAUAAGUAAGUGCUCGAACCCUUGGGGCCACCCAGUUCCAGCGGGCACAUUGCAGGGCACAGAGCCGGUCAGGCCUGCUCUGGGUGGGGAAGGCCCAGCCGGGCACAGGUGCUUCUCUGCAGAGUCUGAGUGUGUGAUCCGGUAACUUCCUGCUCCUGGACGGCCUCUGGACCUCAGCACUCUAGCCCUUUCUUUGCUGUGAGCACCGCUCCGGGCAGCGCAGGGCGGCAGCUGCAUCUCUAGCCCCCUGCGCAAUAGGAGCACGUCCGCCCCCUCACCAGCAUCCAGACCUGACCACAUGACCCCCAGGGAGCAGAGGGCUGGCAUCAUCUUAUCAACAAGGCAUUAAAAUGCUGGUUGUUACAGUGCUGUUAGGCCAGCUGAGAUGUAAGGAUUCUUUGUGUCAAAGAUAAUUACAGCCUUUAGCUUCAAGGUCAUCCCUCCCAGAACCCUGCCCUGGCUUCCUGUCCCUUCCAGCGGAAGACUUGGCUCUGGAAUGGACUUCAGACCAAUCUCAUCUUGUUACACAUGUGGCCCACAGAGGUUAAUCAACCCCCCUGAGGUCACAGUGCCAGUGGAAGAAAAUCCCUGGAAAGAACGGGUCGGGACCCAGGUUCGGAGCCCUUUGCUGCAUUCUGAGACUCCGGAUCCAAGACACACACAUGGUUUGCGGUUCAAAAACAUACUUUACAGGAAAAGAAUUGGACACAAUGUGUACUCAUAAGCAGAGACGCCAGAGGGGAAAGAGAAUCCUGAGUAUUUACAUCAAGAGGACUUUUCUGCCCAUGUGACCGAGGAGGGUCACCGUCUUUCCAGGGCCCAGAACCCAACCCCACAGCCGGCGGGAGCACCGCUUGGAGGGCGCGGCGGGGG